rnacentral:rRNA from 1 species
UACGGGGGGGGCAAGCGUUGUUCGGAAUUACUGGGCGUAAAGGGCGCGUAGGCGGCCUGCUAAGUCGGAUGUGAAAUCCCUCGGCUCAACCGAGGAACUGCAUCCGAUACUGGCGGGCUUGAAUCCGGGAGAGGGAUGUGGAAUUCCAGGUGUAGCGGUGAAAUGCGUAGAUAUCUGGAGGAACGCCGGUGGCGAAGGCGGCUCGCUGGGCCAUUCCUGACGCUGAGACGCGAAAGCUAGGGGAGCGAACAGG